ACACUGUGGAACAAUAUGUUCUUUUAAAAUUAAUUCAAUUUCAUUUAUUUUUUAUGACAAUGUAGUACAUAAAUACAUUUUUUGUCAUAAAAAUUAAUAAUUAUAAAGAAAUAAGUUUCUCUUGAGACUCCUUCUCUCUGAUCCUAAUGACCUUUCAAGAACUGUUUUCAAUAUAAAUAUACCUCCAGACAUUUUCUAAUACAUUUAUGUGCAUCAAAAAUGUGAAUGUACAUGAACAUAUAGACAUAUAUUAAAAACUUAAGUGGCAUUAUAAUGACAUUUUGCUCUGUACCUUAUUUUUUUAUGUUACCAUAUGUCGGGAAUUUUUCUGUGAGUACAUAUAGAUGUGUCUCAUUCUUUUAAAUGUAAUUUAUUGAUAUGUUUGGAUUUAGGUAUAACAAUUUUGUUUUCUGUUCUCUGUUUCCCUUUUCCUGCCUUCUUUUGGGUGACUUGAAUAUUUUUUAGUAUUCCAUUUUAAUUUGUCUGUUGUGAUUUUGAUUAAACUUCUUCAUAUGGUUGUUUUAGUGGUUGCUCUAGGUCUAACAAAAUUAUAUGCUUAACUUUUUACCGUUUACUUAGAAUAAUCAUUUUUUACCACUUUAAUUGGAAUGUAGAAACCUUACCAAGUUAUAAGGCCCUUAACCUUCCCCACUUUACAUUAUAGUCAUCCUACAGAGUACUUGCACAUACACUGAAAUCCCAUCAGACAGUGUUAAAAUUUUUGGUCAGAAAAAUCCAGAUUUAGGUAGGGAAAAGCUUUUUUCAGAAAGAAGAGGGAAAAAGGGAAAGUGAAGACUGCAGUAGUGGGGGAGGAGGACUAUAACCAUAGGGAGAACGCUCCUAUCAUAAGAUCAGCAAGCAUCUCAAGAGUUAGGGAAAAAGACGUUUUUCUUUUAUAGAGACAAAAGUAAAUAAGUCUAGAAAAAGUCAAGUGUGGGGAAGUGGAAUGGUUUAUGUGAGGCCAGCCUGUUUCCUGGGAGGGACCCUAAGUUAUCUAGUGCUGCCGUAACAGAAAUAACCACAAGUAGGUGGCUUUAAAGAACAGAAAUUUAUUUUCUCAUGGUUCUGGAGGCGAAAAGUCCAAAUCCCGGUCUUUUCUGUGUUGAUUUCUUCCUUGUCAGUAGCCCCAGGCAUUCCUUGGUUCCUUGGCUUGUAGACGAUCCUCCUAUGGCAUCUGUCUUCACAACCAUGUGUGCAUAAUCUGCUCUUUUUAUAACUCAGAAGUGGUUAAAUUUAGAUCCCUUUAAAAAUGUCAAGUCAUUUCCUUCCCGUUCCAGUUUCUGAUGAGAAAUCCACAGUUGUUUGAAUUGUUGCCCCCUGUAGGUAAUGGAUUGUUUUUCUCUGGCUGCCUUCAAGAUUGUUUUCUUGUUUUCAGCAGUCUGAUUAUGAUGUUCCUGUGUGCAGAUUUCUUUGUUUGCUUUUUCCUAUUUGGAAACCCUGGUGGCGUAGUGGUUAAGUGCUACAGCUGCUAACCAAAGGUCAGCAUUUCAAAUCUACCAGGUGCUCCUUGGAAACUCUACUGGGCAGUUCUACUCUGUCUCAUGUGGUCGCUAUGAGUCGGAAUCGAGUCGACAGCAACAGGGAUCCAAUGUGAAGGUUCUGCCAGUUGCUGAGUAUAUUUAUUCCAAUUAUGCAUUCUGGAACUGAGGAUAUCACUAUAGGAUGGGUUCAGGGACCCACUGGACCUACUGCAAGGUGGACAUGAGUGUUUUAUAAAAGAGCAGAAGAGACACAGAGUGACAGAUAGAAGGAUGACGGCCAUCUGUGUACUGAGUUAUGCUGUAGUUGAAAGUCAGGAACACCUGGGGUUACCAGAAGCUGAGAGAGAUAAGAAAGGAUUUUGCCUAGAACCUGCACAGAGAACAUGGCUCUGCUGACAGCCUGAAUGUGGACUACUAGCCUCCAGAACUGUGAGAAUAAAUUUCUGUUCUUAAAAGCCACCUAGUUUGUGGUGUUUUGUUAUGGCAGCCCUAGAAAAAUAAUAAAUUAGCUGUCUCACAUGAUUUAUUAAUUCGUCCUUUUAGUACUGAUCUGAAAUGUUAUUUUUAGCACAUAUAAAUAUACAUGUAUAUGUAUAAAUCACACACACACACAUUUCUGGGCUUUAUGUUCUGUUCUAUUGCUCUUCUUGAGUAGUAUCCUACACUGUUAUGCCUUAUAAGUCUUGUACCCUUCUGGGGAUAGCACUUUGAACCAUUUUCAAAUAUGCCCAUUCUUCCUCUUCUAGACUUCGUUUCUUAAAAUUUGUAUUUAAAUUUAACUGUAAAAUUAAUUUGUAAAUUUCAAUUGUGCUUGAAUUUAAAAUUAUCCAUUACAUAAAUACUUUAAAAUGUAUUUGUGCAGAGAUAAUCUCUUAACUGAAAGAAAAAAUAAUCCACUCUAUCUUUUGUAUCUCUGUGUGGUGGGGUGAUGUUUUGAAGUGUUUAUUAGUUGUUUUACCACUCUUUCCGCACCCUGCCAGUGCUCCUGGAAUUCCUUUACUUAGAAUUCCCAACAGUCUCAUCUCACUCUCCCCUAUCUUUAACUUGUACAGCCAGAAAUGAGACUCCCACUGCAGAAUCAGUAGACAAAGGCACCAAAUACUUGGAAGUUAAUUUCAAAAAUGUUUGGUCCAUGUAUAAGACAGAAAGAUUCAGACACACACUUGCAAAACAAGUUUUUCUGCUUUUGGAGACAAAAACAUAUCACAAUCUGGUGAAGAAGAAGAGGAGGAAGCAAGAACUGCUGACUCAAAAAUAUUUAUGCAUGUCAAGUCCUGCUGAUUGUUGUCCUGCUUAUUUCCCACCAAUGAGGCCCACACUCCUACCCAGUGAGACUCCCUUGAAGAAGGAGGAAGAGGAAGAGUAAAAGGAGGCUGCAUAAAAAGAGAUUAAAGGCAAACUCUUACCUCUUAUUUCCCUUGAGCUGGUGGUUAAACCCUCAGAGUUCCCUUCAGGACUACUCUAAUUUUCUUCCCCAGCUUCCCCUAAAAAGCAUUUGUCUCUAGAUGAUAGCAUGGUGGCUGAGUUAUACAUCUGGGAAGGCAUUAAAGCAGAAAAAAAGAUGAGCUAGUCUCACGAGGAGAGCUCUGAUUAGGGCCAAGAACAGAAACUGUUGUGGUAAACCCAAGCUACUAGGAAUUUGAAGAGAUGGGGUUGGGGCAUAGGCUUUGUAUUUCUACAGAAUAUGGGCUAGGACCUUCAACCUAAGUUUAUUUUCCUCUGAAAUGACAGAAUUAUUCCAAAUUAUAUGUGAAUUACACAACUAUUGCAAAUGAUGUUAAUGAGACUUUGAGCACCACAGGGAAUUUAGGAUAGUUGUUAUAUCCACUCUGCACGUAGUUCUACAGCUUUUUCCAUUUGCCCUGAUUUCACUGUCCAGGGUCUUUUAAACUCGUAUUCCAGCCCACUUCCUUCCAGCACUCAGGAUCCUACAGCACUAGACCUUCAAACCUCAGAGUUUUCGGGAAAAUACAGCUGCAAUAGUGCUCCCUAAGCUCCCAGAGAACAUGAUAUGGCUAUUCUUCCAUUGCUUAAUCCUAAACGGAAGCUGAAUAGAACUGAGAACUGAUGACUAUAUCUGUGAAAAGAGAUGAUGGAAAAGCUCAAUAUCAUCAGUCAGAACAAGCCAGGGGUUGACUGAAGAACAGACCAUCAAUUGCUCAUAUGCAAGUUCAAGUUGAAACUGAAGAAAAUUAGAACAAGUCCAUGAGAGCCAAAGUAUGACCUUGAGUAUAUUCCACCUGAAUUUAGAGACCACCUCAAGAAUAGAUUUGUCAUAUUGGACACUGAUGACCGAAGACCAGGCAAGUUGUAAAAUGACAUCAAGGACAUCAUAGAUGAAGAAGGCAAGAGGUCAUUAAAAAGACAGGAAAGAAAGAUAAGUCCACAAUGGAUGUCAGAAGAGAUUCUGAAAGUUGCUCUUGAACAUAGAAUAGCUAAAGCAAGAGAAAGAAACGAGUAAAAAAGCUAAACAGAAGAUUUCAAAGGGCAGCUCAAGAAGACAAAGUAAAACAUUAUAAUGAUAUAUGCAAAGACCUGGAGUUAGAAAAACAAAAGGGAAGAACAUGCUUGGCAUUUCUCAAACUGAAAGAACUUAAGAAAAAAUUCAAGCUUCCAGCUGCAAUAAUGAAGAAUUCUACGGGAAUAAUAUUAAAUGACACAGGAAGCAUCAAAAGAAGAUGGAAUGAAUACACAGUCACUGCACCAAAUAGCGCUGGUUGAUAUUCAACCAUUUCAGGAGGUAGCAUAUGAUCAAGAACCAGUGGUACUGAAGGAAGAGGUCCAAGCUACACUGAAGGCAUUGGUGAAAAACAAGGCUCCAGGAAUUGACAGAAUACCAACUGAGAUAUUUCAACAAAUGGAUGCAGCACUGGAAGUGCUCACUUGUCUAUGCCAAGAAAUUCGGAAGACAGCUACUCAGCCAACCGACUGGAAGAGAUCCAUAUUUGUGACCAUUCCAAAGAAAGGUGAUCCAACAGAAUGUGGAAAUUAUCAAACAAUAUCAUUAGUACCACAUGCAAGUAAAAUUUUGCUGAAGAUCAUUCAAAAGUGCUUGCAGGAGUACAUCAACAGGGAAAAGCCAGAAAUUCAAGCCAGUUUCAGAAAAGGACAUGGAACAAGGGAUAUCAUUCCUGAUGUCACAUGGAUCUUGGCUGAAACCAGAGAAUACCAGAAAGAUGUUUACCUGUGUUCUAUUGACUAUGCAAAGGCAUUUGACUGUGUGGAUCAUAACAAAUUAUGGAUAACAUUGUGAGGAAUGGGAAUUCCAGAACACUUAAUUGUGCUCAUGAGGAACCUCUAUGCAGACCAAGAGGCAGUCAUUCCAACAGAACAAGGGGAUACUGUGUGAUGUAAAAUCAGGAAAGGUAUGCAUCAGGGUUGUAUCCUUUUACCAUACUCAUUCAAUCUGUAUGCUGAACAAAUAAUUCAAGAAGUUGAACCAUAUGAAGAAUUGGAGGAAGGCUCAUUAACAACCUGCGAUAUGCAGAUGACACAACCUUACGUGCUGAAAGUGAAAAGGACUUGAAGCACUCAUUGAUGAAGAUCAAAGACCACAGCCUUCAGUAUGGAUUACACCUCAACAUAAAGAAAACAAAAUCCUUACAAUUGGACCAGUAAGCAACCUCAUGAUAAAUGGAGAAGAUACUGAAUUUGUCAAGGAUUUCAUUUUACUUGCAACCAUAAUCAACACCAUGGAAGCAGCAGUCAAGAAAUCAAACGAUGCAUUGCAUUGGGCAAAUCUGCUGCAAAAUACCUCUUUAGAGUGUUAAAAAGCAAAGAUGCCACUUUAAGGACUAAGGUGCACCUGACCCAAGCCAUGGUGUUUUCAAUUGCCUCAUGUGCAUGCAAAAACUGCACAAUGAGUAAGGAAGAUCAAAGAAGAGUUGAUGCAUUUAAAUUAUGGCAUUGGUGAAGAAUAUUGAAUAUACCAUGGACUGCCAGAAGAAUGAACACAUCUGUCUUGGAAAAAGUACAGCCAGAAUGCUCCUUAGAAGCAAGGAUGGCAAGACUUGGUCUCACAUACUUUGGACAUGUUAUUAGGAGGGACCAGUCCCUGGAGGACAUCAUGCUUGUUAAAGUAGAGGGUCAGAGAAAAAGAGGAAGACCCUCAGGGAGAUGUAUUGACGCAGCGUCUGCAAGAAUGGGCUCAAUCGUAGCAAUGAUUGUGAGGAUGGUGCAGGACUAGACAGUGUUUUGUUUUGGUGUACACAGGGUCACUAUGAGUUGGAACCAACUCAAUGGUACCUAAUAACAACACUAAACAAUUGGUUUGGACUCUUCAAAAACAGAAAAAACCUGUGUGACGGUUCUAGAUUUUAAGACUUAUAUAUAGCAAUCAACUGCAAUGUGUGCACUUGAUUUGAUCCUGAAUUAAAAACAAACAAACAAACUAGAGGAUCAUUAGAGAAAACUAGAUAUUUACUGUUUUGACCUUUGCAACUCAAAGUGUGGUCUGCAGCCAGCAGUGUCACCAUCAUCUGGGGGCCUGUUAGAAAUUCAGGACCUCAAGCCCUAGCCCAGAUUUGCUCAGAAUCUGCAUUUUCAUAAAAUCCCUAGGUGACUUGUAUACACAGUAAAGUUUGGUAAGCACUGUUUUAGAUGGUAUUAUGUAAUUAUUGUUAAUUGUCUCAAGUGUGAAAAUGACACUUUUGCUCUGUCAAAAAUGCUUUAAUUCUUAGGAGACAUGCUGAAGUAUUUAGGAGCAAAGUGCCAUGAUAUCUGCAAUUUUCAUUUAAAUGGUUCAGGAAAAAAGCAUAGGAGAGAGAUGAAGUUAAUGUGGCAGGAUACUAACAACUGAUGAAGUGCCAAAAGCCUGUUGCCAUCAAGUUGAUUCUGACUCAUAGUGACCCUAUAGGACAGAGUAGAACUGCCCCAUAGGUUUCCAAGGCUGUAAUUUUUUUUAUUAUUAAUCUUUAAGAAAGCAGAUUGCCGCAACUUUCUCUGUGGAGUGGCUGUUAGAUUUGAACCACUGAUCUUUCUGUUGUCAAUCAAGCACUUCAUCUGGAGCCACCAGGGCUCCUUGAAUUAAAGUGAGGCAUGUACAAAUGUUUAUUGCACUAUUUUUAAGUCUUUCUGUGGAUUUGAAAUUUCUAGAAUUUCAAAUGUGGAUGUGCAUUAAAUGGAAUUUUCUUAAAUGAAAAAAGCUUUGUUGUUUUUAGGCACCAUCGAGUCAGUUCUGACUCAUAGCCACCUUAUGAAUAACAGUGAAAUGGGGUGCCAGGUCCUUUGCCAUCCUCACAAUCAUUGCUAUGUUUUAGCUCAUUGCUGCAGCCACUGUGUCAAUUCAUGUAAAAAGUUAUUUGGGGGGAAAUUGGCAUCUUGACAAUACUGAGUUUUCUUGUCUAUGAACAUGGUAUGUUACUCCAUAUAUUCAGGGCUUCGUCUCUGUCCUUCAGCAAUGCUGUACAGUUUUCUUCAUAUAGAUCUUAUAUAUUUCUUUUCUUUUUACAUUUGCUCUUGAAUAUUUUAUUGUUGCAAUUAUGAAUGAAUUCUUCUCAGCCUUAUUUCUAACUGGCUGUUGCCAGUGUAUAUAGGAAGUAUGUUUAUUUCACAACAUUUGUCUUGUAAUUUGUUACCAUGCUACAAUCUUUUGUUUUCCUAAUAAUUUUUCAGUACAUUUUCUUAAACAUUUUUUAGAAAGACAGUGAUAACAUCUGAAAAUAAUGAGAAUUUUAUCUCUACUGAUAUUACUAGAAUUUAUUUUUUUACUUUGCUUAUUAAAUUGAUUUCUUCUGCAAUAUUAAAUAGUGAUCAUAGUGACUAUCAUUGUCUUCUUCCUGACUUUAAUGGGAUGGCAGCUAGUGUUUCAUUGUUAAGCCAAUAUUGCUUUUGGUUUCUGUUAUAAUCUUUGUAUCAUAAUACACUAAUCAUUUUUACUUAAAUUAGAAAUGCCUGUUAAAUUACAUUAAGUCCAUUUUGGACAUAUUUGGAAAUGAUUUGUCUUUUUUCUCUUUCAAUUUAUGAAUGUGAUACAUUUCUUUACAAUAAACUAUAUACUUGCAGUUUAAAAAUAAAAUCUCCUUACUGCUGUAUAUUAUUCCUUCAACAUAAUGUUUGUUAUGGAUUGAAUUGUGUCCCCCCAAAAUAUGUGUUAUAAAUCCUAACCUCUAUGCCUGUGGUUAUAAUCCUGUUUGGGGAUGAGUUGUUUGUGCUUAGUUAAUGAGACAAGACUAGUGUAGGGUGUGUCUUGAGUUAAUCUCUUUUGAGAUAUAAGAGGUUAAACGAGCAUGAGAGAUGCAGAGAUAGGGGAAGACAGAUCCAAGCCACAUGAAGUUUUCUCAGGAGCAGGAGCUCAGAAGAGACAAGGACCUUCUUACAGAGCCAACGCAGAGAGAAAUCCUUUCCCUAGAGCGAGCACCCUUGAAUUCGGACUUAACAGCUUCCUAAACUGUGAGAAAAUAAACUUCUGUUUGUUAAAGCCACCCACUUAUGGUAUUUCUGUUAUGGCAACACUGGAUAAUCUUACUAGCAUUUUAUUUAUUUCCAUCUAUAUUUAUGAGGAAAAUUGGUCCACAAUUUUAUUUACUUUCUUUGUCAGAUUUUGUAUCAAAAUCUUAAUAUAAAUCAUUAUAUUUCUCAUGAUAGGUUGACCAAUACAUGUUGGUGAAUUAAACUGAAUCUGCCAGUUGUGGUGUUUCACACUCGGGUCCCUGUGUCACUUGCACACGGAAUUCCAAGAACACAUACCUUUAAUAUUCUUUGCUCCUGGGUAAGACCAGACAGGAGAAAUACCAUAAUAUUAUUAGCAUCAGCUUAAGCCCACAGGCUUUAAGAUACUCCUGGUAGAAAUACCUGAUAGAAAAUAUCUAGUUGACUUUUGAAAAUCACCUUAAUCGUAUUCCAUUACUACAAAUAAAAACUAAUUGAAUAUAAACCCUCCCAGCAAAAUGGACAAAAGAUGGUUAUUCAAAUAGAAUUUUUAAGGGAGGCAGAAAAAUUUAGUGUGAGUAGGAAAGACAAUGCCCAUUUAAAUUAGCUCUCAAAACACCAUCACAAAUUGUAAGUAGAUAUAAAUGCUUUCAAGGCUGGUAUUUUUUACUGUCUUGUUCAUCUUUUGUUCCAAUUUCAACCCCGUGUCUCACAGCUGAGAAGCCCUCAGCAAGCACGGGUUCAAUGAAUGAAUGGACAAACCUUGAAUGAAUGGAGAGAUGAUUGUUCAGGGUCCUUCCACACGUUCAGUUGAUCUGUCAGAUAAUCACUUAGAUGUCCUGAGUGCUCACAUGUCACCCUACAGAGCACUGGGGCUCAAGAAUAUAAUUGAGAACCACACAGUUCCACCCUCAUGGAAAGAGGUUGGACUAUGAUACUAAAUAAAAUUCAUGGGUUACACAAGCUCUUAAAGCACUACCCUGCUAACUUAAUGGUUGGUGGUUCGAGUCCACCCAGAGGUGCCUUGGAAGAAAGUCUUGGUGAUCUACCUCUGAAAAAAAUCAGCAGUUGAAAACGCUAUGGAGCUACUCUGACACGCAUAGGGUUGCCAUGAGUUGGAACUGACUCAAUGGCAACUGGUUCCAGGAGAAGCUGUGCUGGUGAGACGGGAUACCUGGGCCCUCUUUCGCUAGCGCUGCCUCCACUCUAACCAGGGCAGAACAGACAGCAUCUUCCCAGGGAGGGCCAUCACAGCUGCCAUGAUUUGUCCUGUGGUGACUGCUGAUGUAGGUGCAUCAGGCAGGCUGGCUGACUGUGGCUGAGAAGCAGGACCAAGUGAAAAUCGACUGUGUGGUACAUGUUCUAGAGGGCCAGGCAUUGUGGCAAAUGCCAAGGCUGUUUUCCUGAGUGAAACCUGGAAUUCAGGAACUUGCUUAUGUGAGUAUGAAUAGCUGUGUUUGGCAGGAGUGGACAUAUAAACACGGGUCUAGAGGUAUUUUUGAACUGAUCUAGCCUCUGGGGUGUAGCAGGCGUCCCCUCUCUGUUCCAUGCGGUUUGGCAGUGGAUACUGGGCAAUCUGGCAUGAAAACAGAACUCAAUGAUCUUUGAGGUGACUUUGGAAAAACUGCCAGAUCUGAAAAAAAGAUGCACUUAUGACCCAGCUGGUUCUCAGCUCUUGGAAAGAGCAUUUUGUGAAAAGCCAAUGACAUAGGGGCAGGUGUGGCUCCAUCCCUUUGGUACAUUGGGACAUCCAGUCUAUUAUCAUGUCCUUUUAUCCUAAAUAUAACUUGAAUAUGCCUAAUUUUCUCUACCCCACUGCCACUAUCCUAGUCCAAGUCAUUGUUAUCUGUACCCUAGACUUCUGCGGUUGCUUCCUCACUGGUUGACAGGUGCAUUGCAGAGUUCCAGGAAGUGACAUUUACAUUGUAGCCUAGGUAAGCACAGCCUCUGGAACACAACUCUACACACACACAAUGGGUCACAAUGACUAGGUGCCCCGGGGGUCUCCCAGCACAGUGGCCCUGCUGGUCUCCCUCCUGCUUUCUCCUUCCUCUGAUCUGUUUUUCCCUUUAUUUAUUUUUAUUUUUGGAAUAUUUCAAGCAUAUAAAAAUAUGAAGAGUAAUAUAACAUACACCCAUGCAUCCAACUUUUUCUUAUCUUAAUAUUUUGCAACAUUUUUUGGAGUUAGGUGACCUAAAUGUGUACAAUGAAAUAUAUCACACUCUGCAUGUCCUUCUAGAAGUGACCACUAUCCGAAAUUUUGAGAUAACCGUUUCCUUUAUAGUUUUAACAUAUGUAUGUGGAUCCUUAGUGUUUCGUUUAGUUUUGCCUGUUUUUUGACCUUUAUAUAAAUAGAAUCAAUCAGCAUGCAUUGUCCUGUGACUUGCUUUUUUUGCUUAGUAAUAUGUUUUUGGAAUUCAUCGAUGUUGUUGCAGGGAGCUGUAUUUCAUUCAUUUCACUGCUUUCCGAUUCAUACUUCACACUGCAGCCAGAACAGUCUUUUAAAGGUAUAAGUCCAGUUAUUCAUCACUCCACUGCGUAAUACCCUUCAGUGGCUUUCCAAUACUCUUGGAAUAAAAUUGCAGACCCCUGGAGUGGCCAAAAGGAGUCCCUGGGUAGCACAAAUGGUUAAGUGUUUGAUUACUAACCCAAAAGUUCGUGGUUUGAACCCACCCAGAGGCACCUCAGAAGAAAGGCCUGGUAAUCUGCUUCCCAACGGUCACAGCCAUGAAAACUCUAUAGAGUGCAGUUCUACUCCAAAACACGUGGGGUCACCGUAAUCCACUCUAUGGCAAAUGGCUUGGUUUAGUUUGGUUUAGGGUGACCUAAGAGGCCCUUCAUGACCUCACCCUGUGUGACCUGUGACCUCACCACAUGUGACCUUCCCUGCUUCCUUCUUGGGCCUCGCCUACUUCCUAGGCUGAGGUCACACCACUACUCUCCUCCCAUUUUCUUGAUCUCAAGAAGCUCUUUCCUUCCUUCUGACCUUUGCAUACCCCUGGAAUCUUCUUCCUUCCACUCUUCAUUUUUAGCAGGUUAUUCCUGCUCAUACCACACUCUCAGAUUAAGUAUCACUUCUUUAAAUAGAUCUUCACUAAACAUUCAGUGUAAUUGUUGCUUUUUUUUUAGCUGACAUCAGGUCAGCCCCCGACUCACAGCAACCCAAUGCACAAUGGAAAGAAACGCUGCGCGGUCCUGUGCCAUCCCCGUGAUCAGUUGCGGCUCAGACCGUGUGAUCCAUAGGGUUUUCACUGACAUUGCAGAAGUAGAUGGCCAGGUCUUCCUUCCUAGUCCAUCUUAGUCUGGAAACUCCUGUCUGGCAUCAUAGCUGCACUCAAGCUUCCACUAGUGGUGGCUGUGCGUGAGCUGCAUUGACCAGGAAUCGAACCCCAGUCUCCCUCAAGGAAGGUAAGAAUUUUACCACCGGACCACCAAUGUGAAUUAAAAAAAAAAAAUACCCGUUGCCGUCAAGUCGAUUCCGACUUAUAGCGACCCUAUAGGACAGAGUAGAACUGCCCCAUAGAGUUUCCAAGGAGCACCUGGUGGAUUUGAACCGCCAACCUCUUGGUUAGCAGCGGUAGCACUUACCCACUACUCCACCAGGGUUUCCAAUGUGAAUUAGGUGCUUCUUAUUUUGCCACCUGAUCAGUCUUUCUUCACGGCACUGAUCACAGUUUUGUGUUAUAUAUUUAUUUUCAUGUUUAUUUAGUGUCUGUCUCCCUUUACGUUUCGUUGAGGACAGGAUCACAUCUAUUUUGUUCAUGAUGGCAUAUCUAGUCCUAGCAUAGCCCUGGUAUAUACUAGGUACCACCAAUUCAUUAUCAUUCAAUGAGAAUUGAAGGCAAGAAAAAUUGAUGCAGUCAGGACAAAAAAAAAAGUGUUUAGAUCUCGUAUCCUGGAACAAUUCUCUGCUGGAUAAAAAUUGUUAAAAAUGAAGGCAGGAAGGCAUUCUUCCAGAAAGCCUGCAAAUUUCAAUUGUGAUCAGAGGCAGGUGUUACGCUUUUGUAUUUGUCUUAUGUGCUGACCCAGAGGCAGUGAUGGAGAGGCAACUUAAUGUACUGGGAGCUGUGCUAUAUUUUAAACAUAAAGUAUAUAAUAACAAUAAGUAAAACUUAUUGAGCACUCAUGUGUGUGGGCACUACUUUAAGUGCUUUGCAUGAAUAAACUGAUUUAAUUCUCAUAAUAAGACCAAGAGGGAGAUGCUAUAAUUAUCCUCCCUGUUCCUUAUUCUGACAUAUCAGAAAACUGAGGCACAGAGAGAUGAAGUAACUUGCCAGAGUAAGUGACAAAUCUAGGAUGUGGACCCAGAUAAUGUCACUCCAAUGCUCUUCACCACUAUGCUAUAAUGCCUCCAUAAUUUUGUUCAAUGAAUAUUUGUGGCAAGAAUAAGCAAUGGGGGUCAUACUAAAAGUUCAAGCAAAGUGCUACAGGCAUAUGGAAUGAGACAAUUUGGUUUUAUAUGUGGCUGCCUGCUAUAGUAUUUCAGACAAGCACGUGAGACUUCGGGGAAUGGACAUGGAAGGACCGUGCUGUCAAUAACUAAAGACACGUCAAUGGAAUAUGAGACACACUGGGUACUGGGAUAGGGGAGGGUAUGGAAUUUGGUGUUGAUGGACACCAGGUGGGUGUGAAAGGGAUGGAAGUUUGUAAAGAUAGAGUCCAGAAUAUGGAGGACCUUGAAUAAGAAUUUUGGAGGAUUUUAAGUUUUUAAGCAGGGCUUACACUUAGACAAAGGCAUUGUAGUGUUGAAUAUAUAAGAAAGUCCUGUCCUGGCAACAGCUAGAGCUGAAGGCUGGUGGCUGAGGGAGCCUUGGAGGAGGCAAGUUGCAGGGAUAGGGUCAGGAAAGAGAACCAGCAUCAGUGCUGGGCCUAAGAUCAGAGGGGAGGCUGACUCUUCAUAACCUGAUCACCCUCCCAGCAUAUAUGCACUCUAAAAAAGAGGGGCAGAGACCCUGUGAAACAAAUACACUCAAAUACCCCAUUGCAGCCUGAGUGUGACCAGUGGUGUGGUAUGGCCCCUGGUGUGUCCAGUUCCCCAAGCAUUGGGUGUUGCAGAUUUGCAGCUUGACUAAACAUUCAAAUGCCGGGGUGAUGGGAACAGUUCCAACCUUGGAAAGCAAGGUUGGAUUCAAUUCCUGCACACUUGUAAGCAUUCCGUGAGGAUUUCUGGAAAUUCUUGGGGAGACUAGGAUUCCUAGGAUCAUGUAAGUGAGGGAAUCUGAACAUAUGAGAAUUGGGGAAUAGUAGUGACUUAACUAAGUCUAUUCUCACUGGGUGGUGAAGUCCGAGACAUUUGGGAUACAUAGUUCUCUAGCCCAGAUUUUUCUACUAAGCUGCAUGGGUAGCUGCAUCUCCACUUGGAUAUUCCAAGGUAUCAAAAGUUCAGUGUACAACAACUGAAC